GCAUGAUCAUUUUGGUCAUCAACGCGUGAAGACCUUGACUUUUUUCUUCAAUCUCCCGUUCCUGUUCACUAUGGCACUUCAUGUAAUGCCUAACUUUAGUGUGGCUUCCUCUGUGUGUGGGAGAGUGUACCCUGACUUCUUCUUAGGAGAAAUAACACAGCAGAACUCACGAAGACUGGAUUCGGAUGAAGAAGGUUUAUCAGCAAGACAGAAAAUAACCCGAACUGGUCCCAGGGAUACACACUACAUGGAGAUGUAGCUUGCAGCAAAGCACCGUCGGUUACAAUGCUCUUUAUAUACAUUUCAGGCAUGGCACCAUAUCUAACUUUAACCAAUCAUUCACAGUUCCCUUUUGGGUGCAUCCAAUCACAAUCUUCCACACAUAACCUAGUUACAUCAUUUCCCAUUACUUCUAACAGGCCCCAAGUUUUUCCAAUUAAUGCAUCUGUAGAUGAACCAUUGUGUUUCUCUUGGUUUACUUUUCCCUCCAGUGAACGUCACUAUUUGCCUAUAUGUUCUCUACCAUUUUGCUUAAUCUUUACUUACCCUCGAUGCCUUCUACCAAGGACGAGUUUUACAUUCUCCCACUGUGUCUGAAUUAUGUCUUUCAGUCCUCGGUCAGCCUUACAGCCUUUUAUUUCUCUUAACUCUUAUUUCUGUGCUGCUAUGAGCUAGGAAGUGCGGUUUACCACAGAGUAUCCAGGUGCCUGGAGAGUCUAAAUGAACAUACACACUGACACACAUGCUGUUCACAGAGACUUCCAGUUUAUGUAGUCUAGAACAGAA
ensembl:lncRNA